GAAGAUGUGAAGAUUGAAGAAACAUUCACAGUCAAACAGGAAGAUCUGCAAGAACAAACAGUACGGAUAGGGGCGGGACGGAGACAUCUGAAGAUGGAGACGUGGCUGCAGACAUUCGCCUCUCUGGGGCUUUUUCUCAAUAUUAAGUAGCCAACACACAGUUCAGUCCUGCAUCCUCUCCUUGUAAGUUCAGACUUCGCAAGUUUGAUAUGGAAAACAGACUCUUGAGGACUUGUCUUAAAUCUUCAAAGGGAACAAUGUACUUUUAAAUCCUUAUUCCCAUCAUCCAAUACAUUGUUUCACUAUCUUAACAAUAAAAUAAAAACAUGAUAGAAGGAA